rnacentral:rRNA from 1 species
GGCUCCGGCCCUAUCAGCCUGAAGGCGCCCGAUCUCGUCUGAUCUCGGAAGCUAAGCAGGGUCGGGCCUGGUUAGGAUCUUGGAUGGGAGAACCACCUGGGAUCCCGGGUGCUCGAGGCU